rnacentral:rRNA from 1 species
GACGAACGCUGGCGGCGUGCUUAACACAUGCAAGUCGAACGGAAAGGCCCUGCUUUUGUGGGGUGCUCGAGUGGCGAACGGGUGAGUAACACGUGAGUAACCUGCCCUUGACUUUGGGAUAACUUCAGGAAACUGGGGCUAAUACCGGAUAGGAGCUCCUGCUGCAUGGUGGGGGUUGGAAAGUUUCGGCGGUGGGGGAUGGACUCGCGGCUUAUCAGCUUGUUGGUGGGGUAGUGGCUUACCAAGGCUUUGACGGGUAGCCGGCCUGAGAGGGUGACCGGCCACAUUGGGACUGACAUACGGCCCAGACUGCUACGGGAGGCAGCAGUGGGGAAUAUUGCACCGUGGGCGGAAGCCUGAUGCAGCAACCCCGCGUGCGGGAUGACGGCCUUCGGGUUGUAAACCGCUUUCGCCUGUGACGAAGCGUGAGUGACGGUAAUGGGUAAAGAAGCACCGGCUAACUACGUG